AGCUUUGCGCAGUGGCAGUAUGGUAGCCAAUGAGGUUUAUCUGAGAUGCGAUUAUUGCUAAUUGGAAAAAAAAACUACCACAUGAAUAGUGGCUACUGUACUGGACAAUACUGGGUUAGAGUCCAUCUACAUCUUUGCUCUUGUUUUGCUAAAUG
ensembl:snRNA U4 U4 spliceosomal RNA